rnacentral:rRNA from 1 species
CACGUAGGGGCGAGCGUUGUCCGGAUUCAUUGGGCGUAAAGCGCGCGCAGGCGGCUCGGAAAGUCGGUGUGAAAACCUGGGGCUCAACCCCGGGCGUGCAUCCGAUACUGCCGGGCUUGAGGCAGGUAGGGGAGAUCGGAAUUCCUGGAUGUAGCGGUGAAAUGACGCAGAUAUCAGGAGGAACACCGGUGGCGAAGGCGGAUCUCUGGGCCUGUCCUGACGCUGAGGCGCGAAAGCUAGGGGAGCGAACAGG